GUGAGGAAUUUUCCGCAAUGGGCGAAAGCCUGACGGAGCAAUGCCGCGUGAAGGAUGAAGGCCUAUGGGUUGUAAACUUCUUUUCUCAGAAAAGAAUUAUGACGGUAUCUGAGGAAUAAGCAUCGGCUAACUCUGUGCCAGCAGCCGCGGUAAGACAGAGGAUGCAAGCGUUAUCCGGAAUGAUUGGGCGUAAAGCAUCUGUAGGUUGUUUAAAAAGUAUUCUGUCAAAGAUUAGGGCUUAACCCUAGAUAGGCAGAAUAAACUUUUAAGCUAGAGUUUGGUAGAGGCAGAGGUAAUUCCCGGUGGAGCGGUGAAAUGCGUAGAUAUCGGGAGGGACACCAAAGGCGAAGGCACUCUGCUGGGCCAAUACUAACACUGAGAGACGAAAGCGAGGGGAGCAAAUGGGAUUAGAUACCCUUGUAGUCC
rnacentral:rRNA from 1 species